rnacentral:rRNA from 1 species
UACGUAGGGACCAAGCGUUGUCCGGAAUCAUUGGGCGUAAAGAGCGUGUAGGCGGCCUGUUAAGUCUUGCGUGAAAUCUCGGGGGCUCAACCCCCGAGCGGUCGUGAGAAACUGGCAGGCUAGAGUGCGGGAGAGGAGAGUGGAAUUCCUGGUGUAGCGGUGAAAAUGCGCAGAUAUCAGGAAGAACACCCGUGGCGAAGGCGGCUCUCUGGAACGCAACUGACGCUGAGACGCGAAAAGCGUGGGGGAGCAAACAGG